AGUUUUCGGUUCUGGUUCUGGUUCCCGGUUCUGCUCCAGAUUUUCAGUCCAGAUUUUCUGUCCGGAUUUUCAGUCCAGGUUCUGCUCCAGAUUUUCAGAUCCAACUUUCAGUCCAGGUUCUGUUCUGUAUUUUCAGAUCCAAUUUUCAGGCCCAAUUUUCAGUCCAGGUUCUGCUCCAGAUUUUCAGAUCUGAUUUUCACUCCCAAUUUUCGGCCCAGGUUCUGUUCUGUAUUUUCAGAUCCAAUUUUCAGGCCCAAUUUUCAGUCCAGGUUCUGCUCUGUAUUUUCAGAUCCAAAUUUCAGUUCUGGUUCUGUUCCAUAUUUUCACUCCCAAUUUUCAGUCCAGGUUCUGCUCUGUAUUUUCAGAUCCAAAUUUCAGUUCUGGUUCUGCUCCAUAUUUUCACUCCCAAUUUUCAGUCCAGGUUCUGCUCCAGAUUUUCAGAUCCAAUUUUCAGUCCCAAUUUUCGGCCCAGGUUCUGCUCCAGAUUUUCAGAUCCAAUUUUCAGUCCCAAUUUUCGGCCCAGGUUCUGUUCUGUAUUUUCAGCCCCAACUUUCAGUCCAGGUUCUGCUCCAUAUUUUCAGAUCCAAUUUUCAGCCCCAAUUUUCAGUCCAGGUUCUGCUCCGUAUUUUCAGAUCCAAUUUUCACUCCCAAUUUUUAGUCCCCAUUUUCAGCCCUGAUUUUGGGUCCUGGUUCUGCUUCAUAUUUUCAGAUCCAAUUUUCAGUCCCCAUUUUGGGUCCCAGUUCUGUUCCAGACUUCCAGUCCCAGGUUUCAAUCCCAAUUCUGCUCCACAUUUUCAGUCCCGAUUUUCAGUCCCAGUGUUCAGCCCCAAUGUUCAGAUCCCAUUUUCAGCCCUGAUUUUGGGUCCCAGUCCUGCUCUGGAUUUUCAGUCCCAAUUUUCAACCCCAAUUCUGCUCCGUAUUUUCAGUCCUGAUUUUCAGCCCUGA
rnacentral:lncRNA from 1 species